rnacentral:rRNA from 1 species
AAAGCGUGCGCAGGCGGUUUUGUAAGUCUGAUGUGAAAUCCCCGGGCUCAACCUGGGAACUGCAUUUGUGACUGCAUGGCUAGAGUACGGUAGAGGGGGAUGGAAUUCCGCGUGUAGCAGUGAAAUGCGUAGAUAUGCGGAGGAACACCGAUGGCGAAGGCAAUCCCCUGGACCUGUACUGACGCUCAUGCACGAAAGCGUGGGGAGCAAACAGGAUUAGAUACCCCAGU